ensembl:lncRNA
CCCCAGCCCUACAGAGGUCCUGCUGGUUCCCUUGGUCUCACCCCAUGUGGCAGCACCAAGUCUCUAUGGUGGGAAGUUAUGGAGUGAAAGGCUCCAUCCACUGCUUAAGUGUAGACAGCACCGUCCUGCUGCUUUCCGCGGGUUGGCCUGAGCUGCUGCUGCUGCUGCACCACGGAGCCGCAUGGCUGUGGAAGCCCACGUGCAACAGAGCGGGGACCUGCAGCAGCACGGAGCCGCGAGCGGUGCCCCGUGCGCCUUCCCUGCUCGGUAUUUGCAGCCCUAUUUGCGAGCCAGCCUGGGGUCGGCCCAGCAUCCCGUGGCCGACGGCCUUGGAUGCGUUUUGCAAUCGCCUCCGCUUUGCACCAACUUGAGGAAAACCGGGAAAAGGCACUGCUAAUUAAUCUGGAUGGAGUCAGCCAGGCGCCCUGAAACCUCGGCGCAGCCUGUCUCCAAGUGCAGCACUCAAGACUUGAGGCAGUGGGCUCAGGACACGACCAAUAUCCCCUGUGACAACACCAUCAGGAUGUGUUUCCUGGCUUGACCAUGUGUGAGCCCCACAGCCUCUCGCAGGGGAGAGAAGAGUUGAGAAGAGCAGAACAGUGCUGUCCCAGGACAGAGGACUGCCAGCACGCCUGCCCUGGAGAAUGAAUUUAGGGCUUUUUCCUUGCAAAGGCCGUGGUGCAUCUCCUCGAUACAGUGAGUCCAUAGUGAUGAAUGGGUGUCUGGAGCCCUUUCCCAGCCAGCCCACGAAAAUUCCUGGACGACAUCGUGCUGUGAAGCUCCAGGUCUUUGCUGUCACAGGUCGGAGGAACGCCAAGGUAUGAGGGAUGAGCUCUCACCAGACCCAAGCCAGCUUGAUCAGGCUCUGCUGGGGCCAGGCUCCUUGCUGACAACAGGAGGAUCUGGACCAGGGACCAUCUUUCAGAGGAGGCGAAUCCUUAACUUGAACUGCUUCCACGGCCACGUCUGGCAGGCAUCAGGGGACCAGCCGCAGCCGCCCCCAGAAGCAGCAUGAGCCCCGGAGCCAGGCACAGCCCUCCCACGUCUCCUUUGUGCCUCAAGACGCCCGGCCCCGCACCCACCCCCCAAGGGCUGCUUUCCCUGUUGAUAAUCCAUUAUCUACAUUUAAUGCCUCGCUGACGUCCUUCCCUUUGUCUGAUGGUGAAACCUCGACCAGAUGUGAAGCUUCUUAUGUUACUAAUGGCAAAUCCUUUUGCAAUAGCUGGUUGGAAAAUGGGGAAACUGUUUUCAUGAAGUGAAAAUUGAAACAUUGGAGUAAUUUUCAUUCUGCAAGCCUCACAAAGGAGUGGUUUUUAUUUGAGGUCAUUUCUAUUUUUUUUUUUCCAGAAAAAAAGCUGUAGCUCAGAAGAUGAGUUUGUGGUAGCGCUCUCACCACUGAACAUUUCUGCUGUCCCAGUGCAGUUCCUAUUACUCUCGUGUUCCACUUCUGAAAAAAAAUGAAGUGGGGGAAGGGAGGUGGCACAGCCCAGGUCUGCAGGCUGCCUGACGCCUUGCUGGGGCAGCUUAAGGCUUGGGAUACAGCCUGCCCUGGGCAGAGCCAUGAUAGCUGGAGCAGCGAGUCCUUGCCCUGCUGACAACUUAAAGAGGGUCAGCCACAACCCCCCUAUAAAGCAGAGGUGGUAAGGUGUGGCUGAGGAUGGCUCAGUCGUUUGCUGCCUCUCUGAGCAGUGUCCCCAGUAAGCUAUGCAGUGUGAGCGCCUGGGUGACGAGCAGAAAGCACCCCUUGGUGCAGCGCGUGUUGGUGGGAGAGCACACAGGCAGCAGUACCCAAACAAAGCCCUCGAGGGUUUGCAGAUGGAGCCAUGCACUGCAGGCUAGGAUCUAAACUGAGACCCCCAAGCUACAGGCAUGCAGCUAACACAGCAUGCAGCCCCUUUCUGGAGAGCGACAGCACUAGCAGGGCACUUUGCUUUUGCACUGGAGCCCUGUGUGCUGGGAUCUGCGGCACUUCUUUUGAUGAGACAGAUGGUAAGAGGAAAUCCUGGACCACGGGAGCCCUGAGCCCUGUCAGCAAGGCUGGGGAUGAACUGUCCUCCCAACCAAAUGCUCAUUCUCAUCACUACAGACGUGUCCAUCUAUGUCUUUCCUUCAGAUGCAGGCAUUAAUUUCUGCAGCUAAUCAAAAAGUCAUAGAAAAAUGUC